UAAUAUAUAAACAAGAUAAAUGUGAUCAAAAUGAGAAUAUUUUUCUCUUGGUAAAAUGAGGAGCAAUGGCUGUAUAUAUUAAUGAAAAUAGAGCAAAAGUUUAUGGGACACGAUGUACCGAACUACCGAUAUCCACAAGCAGGGGCCUAAAUUAAGAAAGAAGGCCCAUAGACGAAAGAGCAUGUACAAUAGGUACCUGGAGAUGCAGAAGAGCAGUAUUUAUACUAGGCACUCCCCAA
rnacentral:lncRNA from 1 species